GAUGAACGCUGGCGGCGUGCCUAAUACAUGCAAGUAGAACGCUGAAGGAGGAGCUUGCUCUUCUGGAUGAGUUGCGAACGGGUGAGUAACGCGUAGGUAACCUGCCUGGUAGCGGGGGAUAACUAUUGGAAACGAUAGCUAAUACCGCAUGACAACAGUUAUUGCAUGAUAACUGUUUAAAAGGGGCAACUGCUCCACUACCAGAUGGACCUGCGCUGUAUUAGCUAGUUGGUGAGGUAACGGCUCACCAAGGCGACGAUACAUAGCCGACCUGAGAGGGUGAUCGGCCACACUGGGACUGAGACACGGCCCAGACUCCUACGGGAGGCAGCAGUAGGGAAUCUUCGGCAAUAGACGGAAGUCUGACCGAGCAACGCCGCGUGAGUGAAGAAGGUUUUCGGAUCGUAAAGCUCUGUUGUAAGAGAAGAACGAGUGUGAGAGUGGAAAGUUCACACUGUGACGGUAUCUUACCAGAAAGGGACGGCUAACUACGUG
rnacentral:rRNA from 1 species